GUUUUCACAACCAUGGAUAACCACAUUCAUGAAUGAACCGUCAUUUUAUUAAAAUCAAUAGGCCAAUGCAUUUUAUACUAUUAGCAAAUCAUUGUUAAAAAAGUUGAUCUGAUCAUAGUCAUACUAUUUAAAAACUACAUUGCAUUCAUUGGGAGUCAUAUCACAAGCAAAACCAAGCAAUUGCCCCUAAUAUGCUCAAAUAAUUAGGUGCAAAUUAAGGAAAUGUACUCCCUGAGUUCUUUGUGCUGAAAACUUGGUAAUGUCAGCUAAAGCAUUAGUUUUCUAAAUACUGUCAACGACAGUAACUUGUAG
rnacentral:misc_RNA from 1 species